rnacentral:rRNA from 1 species
UACAGAGGUCCCAAGCGUUGUUCGGAUUCACUGGGCGUAAAGCGCGCGCAGGCGGUCCCUUAAGUCUGAUGUGAAAGCCCACGGCUCAACCGUGGAGGGUCAUUGGAAACUGGGGGGACUUGAGUGCAGGAGAGAAGAGUGGAAUUCCACGUGUAGCGGUGAAAUGCGUAGAGAUGUGGAGGAACACCAGUGGCGAAGGCGACUCUUUGGCCUGUAACUGACGCUGAGGCGCGAAAGCGUGGGGAGCAAACAGG